rnacentral:misc_RNA from 1 species
GUUACCGUUACGCUACAGCCAUUACAGGCCUGUUUCCAUUACUCACGACCAUGAACACGAUUUGAAACCAUGGUUUCAAGCCUAAAGGUAAUAUACUGUAAAGAAGAAGAAAAACAGAAGAGGAGGCAAAACAGAGAAGAAUAAGAAGUAGCAAAGCCCAAAAAAGGUGGAGAAGAAGCAUUCAACUCUAGAGAAAGAAUUGUCCACUCUUUGAUUUAAUCUCCCUGCAUUGUUAGGAUAAAAUUGGGCUCUCUGAC